GUUAUCCUUGAUAAUUGUCAACAUCAUCUUGAACCUAUAUACAAACAUGAACUAGAAAUUCAUAUCAUAGCUGAUGAAAUGCUUCCCCCCUUUUUAUUUGGUAAACAAAAAAAUGAAACUUUGGCCUGUGAAAUCCAUACAUAAAAAAUAGUAAAUUAAUGCCAUAUCUUUGAUUAAAAAAAAUGUUUUACUUGCUCGUGCGAGCCAAGUUACUAUGCGUAAGAACACAACCGUUAUGUUUAAAAGAAUAAUAUUUCCUUUUUCUGAAUUUAUAAUAUCAUAACAAGUACUUCCAAUGCCUUACACUUCCCCCAACUUCAAU
rnacentral:lncRNA from 1 species